rnacentral:lncRNA from 13 species
UGGACUCAACAGACACAAUUAUGAUUCAUCCUACUGAAAUAAAAUGUUGUGUUUGUUUGUGCAGGGUAAGAAAGGAGCUUUUGUGGUGCGAGACUCCAGGCAUGCAGGCGUCUACACUGUGUCUGUCUUCACUAAAGCCCCAGGAAGAACCCGCGGGUGAAGCACUACCAGAUCAGACAGUCAGAGGCAGAGACGUCCACGUUUUACCUGGCAGAGAAAUACCUGUUCAGCACCAUUCCUGAGCUCAUCCAGUACCACCAACACAACGCUGCAGGUAUUUACGUUAUCUGUGGCUCACCUGAGCUACCUAAUACAUCUGUUUACAGCCAGGCCAGUGUGACCUAUUUGGACAUGCACCACAAGACUGUGUUUGUUAGUCCGUUGAGAUAAAGGCAUCUUCAGGGGUCAUGUAAGGUUUCACCAGCACACGUGGAUCUCCCACAGUAGAGAGGGAGAUGGGAGAGGAGCGUUAAUGUAGUUUGAAAUGGUUCUAUACGUUCUAUGGUCCCGAUGUUCUUCCCUUAGUAUAGUGUGGAAUCGUUUCCUUGCAUCAACAUUCUACAGAGGAAACUGCCUGUAAAAUAAUAGUUCAUGAGUUCUAUUGUUGAGGCAGAAUAGCCUAAUCCCUCUACAUUAUCUAACUCCCAGUAUAUGCAAAUAUAGUUUUGUUGUUUCAUCUUGACAUUCAACCUGUGUGUGUGUGUGUGUGUGUGUGUGUGUGUGUGUGUGUGUGCGUUCGUGUGUGGUGUGCGUGUCGUGUGGGUUCGUGCAUAUGUGUAUUCUCUGCAGGUCUGAUCACCUGACUGAGGCAUCCUGUCUCUCAGGGUAGAGAGAAUUCUCAGAGCCCUGCGGAACUCUCAGAAGGUCAGAGGUUGACCUGCUGCUUCUGUCUCCAGGCAGCCAGCAGCAAUUUUGUUUGGUUAUUGAUUAUGAAAGGUAUCAUAGAGAUAGUUAGAGGACUCAUUUUUGCAUCUGUGCCAUUAUGGUGUCUGUUACAGCAUGGGCAGAUGAGUCCUCUAACUAUCUCUAUGGAAGUUUCCUAAUCCUGAAUUACAUGACAAUUCUAAAGAUCAAACACAAAGCAGAUAACACACCAGACGCUUAUAUGUUAUAGAUAAGUUACUGUGUAAUAAAGAUAUGCUUUAACAACGCAUAUGCAUGAUAGUGAGAAUUGGCGUGUGUUUUGCUAUUCUAAAAGCAUUAGGAAUGUGAUGACAUAAUUGGUG